UACGGAGGGUGCAAGCGUUAUCCGGAUUCACUGGGUUUAAAGGGUGCGUAGGAGGGCAGGUAAGUCAGUGGUGAAAUCUCCGAGCUUAACUUGGAACUGCCGUUGAUACUAUCUGUCUUGAAUAUUGUGGAGGUGAGCGGAAUAUGUCAUGUAGCGGUGAAAUGCUUAGAUAUGACAUAGAACACCAAUUGCGAAGGCAGCUCGCUACGCAUAUAUUGACUCUGAGGCACGGAAAGCGUGGGGAUCAAACAGG
rnacentral:rRNA from 1 species